CUCGAGUAGGGCCCAAGCAAGCCAGGAAGGAGGAGGCAGCCAGAGUGUUCUCUGCAGCAGAAGAGCCCUUGCUGCCCUGCUCAACCCAGACCAGCAUUUGCCAGGACGCUGUCUAAAAACUAGGAGGUUUUCAGUAGUGUCUGGAAUACUUCAUUAGAUUGUUAGGAUGCGACUAAUUUAUCACUGUGUUCUGAGCGUAAACUGAUUUGAGGAACCACGUCACUGGAGAACGCAUCCAGUUCGCAGCGCAUUGGGGCGAGAAGUCCAAGCAACACAGACUGGGCUGGGACUCCGACGUUUAUACAGACCACCCGAAAAGAGAGGGGUCGCCGUUGCCCAUGCCAAUUCGCCAGCGGCAAACUGCAUCAGAAGCCGUUACAUCACCCUGAAAGGCCCACUACAGCCAAUGGGGUUUACAAGGGAGAGGAAUUCAUUGGCGGAGAGUUUGUAUGGAUUGCCACCUCAAGCGACGUUGCGGCUUGCAACUAAGGAAAGUAACCAACUGGCAGAGCCCCCACCAAGCACCGACAGCGUGUCCACGAAAGUCAUCCGAGGCUACGGAACACAAGGAAACGCGCAUGCACCUUCUCAAUUACUCAACAACAGAACCGCCACCCCUUGUGUGCCCACAUAUAACCAAACAGCAGCACCCAUCCCCGUUAGGGGUGAGAGAAGCCCACACAGAUGGCAUCACCUGACCUGACUCACAGCCCCAGUCCCAACUCAGGCGCGUCUGCAUGGCACGACGGUGCUUCCGAGGCAGGCGAGUGGGAGCUUCGUCUUCGCGCGCUGCUCUGCCUUCCCCCUGGCAUGACGCGGUCCCAGGACUUGGCAGGCACCGGAGCUCCUGCCAGCCCACCCCGCGCGCCCUCAGCCCUUCAUUACCCUGCAAGGGCUGCAGCUGCUGCCUGCUUUCCAAGGGCGAGCCAGGCGGCAUGGAGAGGAGAGCUGCCUCACCGUUGCAGCUGAUCUGGAGGGCGGCAAGAAGAAAGACCGGCGGGCUGUCUCCUACAUUGACCUGCCUUCAUCCUAGGGGGGGUUGCAGCAACGGGAGGAAAGGAAAGGCAGGCAUCUCCGGCCCUCAGUGACACGGUCGCCUGGCUGGGAGUAUAUCGCGUGGGACUGAACCUGCUGCUGCGUGUGAGCUCAAUGCAGAGGCGGGGCUGCCUCUGCCCGCCCCACACGUCCAAGGCAGAGGGGGCUCUCAAGAUGGCGGCGGCGGCGCGAUAGGAAGAAGCAGCUCCCAAACGCGAUUGCGGUUUACGGUCCCGUCUACCUAGGGGUUCCCGAUCCCGCCACACAGCAAAGACUUGCCCUUCGCCUUCCAGUUCUGCAGCUCUUCUUCAAGCAACGCCUUGAUCUGUGCGGCACCAACACACAAUCCUGUGCGGGUUUACUCAGCGAGUAACUUCUUAAUCGCAUAGGGCUUACUCCCACAUGAGUGUGCACAGGAUCGCCACCUUGCAAUGUAAUUCUAAACACUUAUUAUCGAUUAAGCCCCGUUAAGCACAGUACAUCUGAAUAAACACAUCUCUUCAACAGGA